rnacentral:rRNA from 1 species
GACGAACGCUGGCGGCGUGCUUAACACAUGCAAGUCGAACGGAAAGGCCCUGCUUUUGUGGGGUGCUCGAGUGGCGAACGGGUGAGUAACACGUGAGUAACCUGCCCUUGACUUUGGGAUAACUUCAGGAAACUGGGGCUAAUACCGGAUAGGAGCUCCUGCUGCAUGGUGGGGGUUGGAAAGUUUCGGCGGUUGGGGAUGGACUCGCGGCUUAUCAGCUUGUUGGUGGGGUAGUGGCUUACCAAGGCUUUGACGGGUAGCCGGCCUGAGAGGGUGGCCGGCCACAUUGGGACUGAGAUACGGCCCAGACUCCUACGGGAGGCAGCAGUGGGGAAUAUUGCACAAUGGGCGGAAGCCUGAUGCAGCAACGCCGCGUGCGGGAUGACGGCCUUCGGGUUGUAAACCGCUUUCGCCUGUGACGAAGCGUGAGUGACAGUAAUGGGUAAAGAAGCACCGGCUAGCUACGUGCCAGCAGCCGCGGUGAUACGUAGGGUGCGAGCGUUGUCCGGAUUUAUUGGGCGUAAAGGGCUCGUAGGUGGUUGAUCGCGUCGGAAGUGUAAUCUUGGGGCUUAACCCUGAGCGUGCUUUCGAUACGGGUUGACUUGAGGAAGGUAGGGGAGAAUGGAAUUCCUGGUGGAGCGGUGGAAUGCGCAGAUAUCAGGAGGAACACCAGUGGCGAAGGCGGUUCUCUGGGCCUUUCCUGACGCUGAGGAGCGAAAGCGUGGGGAGCGAACAGGCUUAGAUACCCUGGUAGUCCACGCUGUAAACGGUGGGUACUAGGUGUGGGGUCCAUUCCACGGGUUCCGUGCCGUAGCUAACGCUUUAAGUACCCCGCCUGGGGAGUACGGCCGCAAGGCUAAAACUCAAAGGAAUUGACGGGGCCCCGCACAAGCGGCGGAGCAUGCGGAUUAAUUCGAUGCAACGCGUAGAACCUUACCUGGGUUUGACAUGGAUCGGGAGUGCUCAGAGAUGGGUGUGCCUCUUUUGGGGUCGGUUCACAGGUGGUGCAUGCCUGUCGUCAGCUCGUGUCGUGAGAUGUUGGGUUAAGUCCCGCAACGAGCGCAACCCUUGUUCACUGUUGCCAGCACGUUAUGGUGGGGACUCAGUGGAGACCGCCGGGGUCAACUCGGAGGAAGGUGGGGAUGACGUCAAGUCAUCAUGCCCCUUAUGUCCAGGGCUUCACGCAUGCUACAAUGGCUGGUACAGAGAGUGGCGAGCCUGUGAGGGUGAGCGAAUCUCGGAAAGCCGGUCUCAGUUCGGAUUGGGGUCUGCAACUCGACCUCAUGAAGUCGGAGUCGCUAGUAAUCGCAGAUCAGCAACGCUGCGGUGAAUACGCUCCCGGGGCC